CCUGUAGCUCAACUGGAUAGAGCAACGCCCUUCUAAGGCGUAGGUCGGGGGUUCGAGUCCCUCCAGGC
rnacentral:tRNA from 1 species